AUGCACGAGAGGACAUGGCUUGGUGGCUGCUGGGGCUGGCAGGGGGAGUGUGGGGCAGCCGCUGCCACCACUCCCUGGAGAGGCCAGGACACAAUCUCCCCGAAAACGCCAUCCUGUGAACUGCUUUUUAAAAAAUACAGGCCCCAAGUGGCCACCGACUCGACGGGUAAUUCAUUUUUACGGCAGCCAGCGUGCCAGGAGGCAAGUGGAAUGUGGCUGAAAGCUCUUGACUGCUCCGGUCCCAACUUUAUUAUUUUUUUCUCCUCCUUGCACUCCUCCCCAGUCCUCACCAAGCUCUCACCAAAGGGAAGCAGAUUUAUGGGAAAGGCAGGGGCAUGUGGGAAAGAGCACUCAACUAGGAGUCCUGGCCUGUCCCCAUUAGCACCAAGACCUCAGUCGGUGGACGCCCCAGGCCCUCUGGAACAUCCCAUUGUUUGCUGAGAAAGUUGGUGCUGGGCUGGAGUCCAGAGAACCAGUAAGCCAUGUGGCAUUGUCUGUAUUUUAUUUUAUGUACUUAAAAAAUUAAACAUUAGAGACCUUCUUCAAGCUAAUUUUUCUUUUGC
rnacentral:lncRNA from 1 species